CUGAACCUUAGGUUGGACUCAACUGGAUUGGGCGUCUGACUUUCUCACCCACUGGCCUGCCCAGCUCUUGGGAAAGAAUCACAUCUUGUUUUUCUUUGUGUCCUAGUCUUCCCAUGGUGCUUGAUUUCUGAGCCAGCCCUUAGUCUGACUGAAUUCUCCUGUCUGCCUUUCUGUCUCGCAUUCCUUAUGGAGUGCCUACAUUUUGUGUAGUCGUUCAUUCACUCAGUCACUCUGACAAUCGCUUAUUGCACAGAUAUGUGAGUGUACCAGGGAUGUGCUACCUGCUUGCUGAGCAUGCAGCCAAGUGGAUGCAGCUAACAUCCACUUGUUACUCCAGGUGAGUAAGGCAGACAGUCAUC
rnacentral:lncRNA from 1 species